rnacentral:rRNA from 1 species
GAUGAACGCUGGCGGCGUGCUUAACACAUGCAAGUCGAACGGGAUCCAAGGGGUGCUUGCACUCUUGGGUGAGAGUGGCGAACGGAAGAGUAACACGAUAGUAACCUGUCCUUUGCUUUGGGAUAAGCAUUCGAAAGGGUGUUUAAUACCUUAUCUUCUGUCGGCUGCUCAUUGGGAGGGUGGGAAAGUCUUUGGCCGGAUUUGGGUGGGCUCGCGGGGUAUCCGCUUGUUGGUGUGGUGAUGGCUUACCAAGGCUCUGACGGGUAGCGGGCCUGGGAGGGUGGACGGUGACAUUGGGACUAAGAGACGGGCCAGACUGCUCAGGCAGGCAGCAGUGGGGGAUAUUGGAAAUUGUGCGAAAGGCUGAUGCAGCUACGGCGGGUGGGCGAUGAGGGCGUUCAGGUUGUAAACUUCUUUUGCUCUGAACGCGACAUACCAGUGGGUGUGUGGAGUGUCGGGGUUGAUUAGCACCGGCUAACUACGUG